AACCUGGUUGAUCCUGCCAGUAGUCAUAUGCUUGUCUCAAAGAUUAAGCCAUGCAUGUCUAAGUAUAAAUCUUUGUACGGUGAAACUGCAGACGGCUCAUUACAACAGUGAUAAACUACAGAACUUUCGCGAUUUAUCGUUAUGGGUAACCGCAGUAAAUCGGGGCUAAUACAUACAAACGGAAGGCGAGCGGGCAGCUGCGAGUCCUUGCGAUUAUUAACCAUUCUAACCAAUCUCUUCGGAGUUUGUGGCGAAACCGAAUAAUAUUGCUGAUCGAAUUUUAAUUCGACAAGUUCUAUGUGUCACUGCCCUAUCAACUUUCGAUGGUACGGUAUUGGCCUACCAUGGUUGUAACGGGUAACGGGGAAUUAGGGUUCGAUUCCGGAGAGGGCGCCUGAGAAAUGGCGACCACUUCUACGGAAGGCAGCAGGCGCGCAAAUUACUCAAUCCCAACACGGGGAAGUAGUGACAAUAAAUAUUAAUGCCUAUCAGUUUUACUGAGGGCAAUUGAAAUAAGUACAAUUUAAAUCGCUUAACCAAUUUAAUUGGAGGGCAAGUCUGGUGCCAGCAGCCGCGGUAAUUCCAGCUCCAAUAGCGUAUACUAAAUUUGUUGCAGUUAAAAAGCUCGUAGUUAAAAUUGAAAUUAUAUGGAUAAAACUUGAUUAGCAUCAUUCGUGGUGUUUUAUUCUUGCCAUUAAUUUCUUAUGAUUCAACUCCUCGCCUAGCGUUGGAUGUUUGAAUUCUCCACUGUGAGAAAAAUGUAGUGUUUAAAGCAGGCGAUUAGUCUGAUCUUUUGCAGCAUGGUAUGGUAAAAUAAGAUACUAAACACUCGUUGGUUGUGUUCUGGUAUAAUGAUUAAUAGGGAAGGGCGGGGCCGUUCAUAUUGAUGGGCGAGAGGUGAAAUUCGUUGACCCUAUCAAGAUGCACUACAGCGAAAGCAUUCGGCAAGUACUUCUCCAUUAAUCAAGAACGAAAGUUUGGGGAUCGAAGACGAUCAGAUACCGUCGUAGUCCAAACCAUAAACUAUGUCGACCAGGGAUUGGGUGGGUAAUUUUUAAUAAACCUAUUCAGAACCUUGUGGGAAACCAUGAGUGUUUGGACUCUGGGGGGAGUAUGGUCGCAAGUCUGAAACUUAAAGGAAUUGACGGAAGGGCACACAGUGGAGUGGAACCUGCGGCUUAAUUUGACUCAACUCGGGAAAACUUACCAAGCUAAGAUAUAGCAAGGAUUGACAGACUAAAAGAUUUUUCAUGAUUCUAUAAGUGGUGGUGCAUGGUCGUUCUUAGUUGGUGGAGUGAUUUGUCUGGUCAAUUCCGAUAACGGACGAGACCUCGACCUACUAAAUAGUGGUGCGUAUUUGGUCAAUAUGGGUGAUAGUAUUAUGGCAGUGCUGCAGCGUUUUCGGAUGUUGUAGUAUUGACAUAGUAUGUGUAAUUCGAUCAUUUAGGCACUAAAAAAUUAAAAUACUUCUUAGAGGGACUACCUACCUCAAGUGGGGGGAAGUUCGAGGCAAUAACAGGUCUGUGAUGCCCUUAGAUACCUUGGGCUGCACGCGCGUUACAAUGUAAGGUGGAAAAAGGUUCCUGGACCGAAAGGUUUGGGUAAUCAUUUGAAUACCCUACGUAAUGGGGAUUGUUCUUUGUAAUUAUCGAACAUCAACGAGGAAUUCCUUGUAAGCGUAAAUCAUUACUUUACGCUGAAUAUGUCCCUGCCCUUUGUACACACCGCCCGUCGCUCCUACCGAUCGAACGAUACGGUAAAAUUGACAGAUUGUUUUUAAUUCCGAAAGGAAAGUCUAAGACAAAAAGUUAUUUAAAUCUCAUUGUUUAGAGGAAGGAGAAGUCGUAACAAGGUAUCCGUAGGUGAACCUGCAGAAGGAUCAA
rnacentral:rRNA from 1 species